AAAAAAUUCCCUUUUUCCGACUUGCCUGGACUGAGACAAGAUGUUCGAUGCCAUUUUCACCGCUGUAUGUCCACUGGUUUGGUUCCCAUGGGUAGCAUUUCAUGUUAGCUUAGCAUAAAGACUUGAAGUCUAUAGGAGUCGUUAGCCUAACUCUGUCAAAGUGAAAAAAUAAACCUCACAGCAACUCUGAAGCUGUCUUAUUUAUACAGUGUAUCGUGUAUUUGCACAUCUUGGGAUUU